rnacentral:lncRNA from 1 species
ACCAGGACACCACGCCCCUCGGGCCGGGAGCCGGUUCCGGCUGAGUCGGCAGGGUUGCCGAGCUCUCGCAAUCGCGCUUUACCUGCCCAGGCAAGCCGCGGCAAGAACGCAAGGGGCGCGAAGAUAAACCGACACUUUCCCAACCGCUUCACCACCCCUCAGCGACUUCCGCUUCCGGCGACUCCAUGGGGAAACUGAAGCCCUAGAGGAAAAGAAGACUAAAUGUAUUACCAUCUGACCCACUUCCUGGCCAGCCUGUUCACCUGUCUGCUGUUCUUCAUUGAUGUGCAAUCUAAGACUCAGAGAAGCUGGAGAAUUUUCCUAACGUCACACAGCAAAGGAAUGGAAGACUCAGGACAAGAAUACACGAUCCUCUCCUUCCAACAUGUCACCCAGCAGAACAAGAGAAGGAAUCACAAUUGGUCCAUGACAGUCACGGUCAUCUCAUUCCUCUUGCCAGUGGCAGGUGUAUGUGUGAGUUUGCAGCUCAAUCCUGGCCAAGGGGAUCCAAGGACUGCUGAAGAGGCAUGUCUGCACAUGUCACCUAGAACAUCUCCAGCCAUCAUGUGAUCUCUGGGGGAGGCAUUCCCAACUCUCUGAGAGAAGCAGACCAGAAAGAUGGAAAGAAAGCACCUGGCUCCAGGAUGAUGACAUUGAGCCGAUGAAUUAACCACCUUUGUGCUGCUCUAACCUUCAGAGUUCACCUUAACAUGAGAAAAUAAAACCCUUAUUGCUUAGCCA